GCGCUUGUAGCUCAGUGGUUAGAGCGACGCUCUCAUAAAGCGCGGGUCAUCGGUUCAAAUCCGAUCAGGCGCACCA
rnacentral:tRNA from 1 species